AUCUGGGUGGCUCAGUCAGUUGAGCGUCUGACUUCAGCUCAGGUCAUGAUCUCACAGUUCCGUGAGUUUGAAACCCACACCAGACU
rnacentral:tRNA from 1 species